AGAGUUUGAUCCUGGCUCAGGACGAACGCUGGCGGCGCGCCUAACACAUGCAAGUCGAACGAGCGAGAGAGAGCUUGCUUUCUCGAGCGAGUGGCGAACGGGUGAGUAACGCGUGAGGAACGUGCCUCAAAGAGGGGGACAACAGUUGGAAACGACUGCUAAUACCGCAUAAGCCCACAGCUCGGCAUCGAGCAGAGGGAAAAGGAGCAAUCCGCUUUGAGAUGGCCUCGCGUCCGAUUAGCUAGUUGGUGAGGUAAUGGCCCACCAAGGCGACGAUCGGUAGCCGGACUGAGAGGUUGAACGGCCACAUUGGGACUGAGACACGGCCCAGACUCCUACGGGAGGCAGCAGUGGGGAAUAUUGCACAAUGGGGGAAACCCUGAUGCAGCGACGCCGCGUGGAGGAAGAAGGUCUUCGGAUUGUAAACUCCUGUUGUUGAGGAAGAUAAUGACGGUACUCAACAAGGAAGUGACGGCUAACUACGUGCCAGCAGCCGCGGUAAAACGUAGGUCACAAGCGUUGUCCGGAAUUACCGGGUGUAAAGGGAGCGCAGGCGGGAAGACAAGUUGGAAGUGAAAUCUAUGGGCUCAACCCAUAAACUGCUUUCAAAACUGUUUUUCUUGAGUAGUGCAGAGGUAGGCGGAAUUCCCGGUGUAGCGGUGGAAUGCGUAGAUAUCGGGAGGAACACCAGUGGCGAAGGCGGCCUACUGGGCACCAACUGACGCUGAGGCUCGAAAGUGUGGGUAGCAAACAGGAUUAGAUACCCUGGUAGUCCACACCGUAAACGAUGAUUACUAGGUGUUGGAGGAUUGACCCCUUCAGUGCCGCAGUUAACACAAUAAGUAAUCCACCUGGGGAGUACGACCGCAAGGUUGAAACUCAAAGGAAUUGACGGGGGCCCGCACAAGCAGUGGAGUAUGUGGUUUAAUUCGACGCAACGCGAAGAACCUUACCAAGUCUUGACAUCCUGCGACGCACAUAGAAAUAUGUGUUUCCUUCGGGACGCAGAGACAGGUGGUGCAUGGUUGUCGUCAGCUCGUGUCGUGAGAUGUUGGGUUAAGUCCCGCAACGAGCGCAACCCUUACUGUCAGUUACUACGCAAGAGGACUCUGGCAGGACUGCCGUUGACAAAACGGAGGAAGGUGGGGAUGACGUCAAAUCAUCAUGCCCUUUAUGACUUGGGCUACACACGUACUACAAUGGCGUUAAACAAAGAGAAGCAAGACCGCGAGGUGGAGCAAAACUCAGAAACAACGUCCCACUUCGGACUGCAGGCUGCAAAUCGCCUGCAGGAAGUCGGAAUUGCUAGUAAUCGUGGAUCAGCAUGCCACGGUGAAUACGUUCCCGGGCGAGUAGCACACACCGCCCGUC
rnacentral:rRNA from 1 species